rnacentral:rRNA from 1 species
CUAAUACAUGCAAGUCGAACGAACGGAGGAAGAGCUUGCUCUUCCAAAGUUAGUGGCGGACGGGUGAGUAACACGUGGGCAACCUGCCUGUAAGUUGGGGAUAACUCCGGGAAACCGGGGCUAAUACCGAAUGAUAGAAUGUGGCGCAUGCCACGCUUUUGAAAGAUGGUUUCGGCUAUCGCUUACAGAUGGGCCCGCGGUGCAUUAGCUAGUUGGUAGGGUAAUGGCCUACCAAGGCAACGAUGCAUAGCCGACCUGAGAGGGUGAUCGGCCAC